GGGGACAUGGUGUAACCAGGCCAUCAUCAUGGACUCCAGAAUCCUUUCCAGAUGAAAGAGAUUACUGAUGGCAUUUGCCGAUGAAGAAAUUCUGGAGUUUGAUGGGGAAAUCCAUGGAUCAGGGUUCAAAUCCCUGUGUCCCCA
rnacentral:tRNA from 1 species